AAGGUGUUAGUUUAAUUGGAAAAAUGUCCAUACCAAAUGGGAUAUGCAAGUUCGAGUCUUGUACACCUUC
rfam:Flavobacterium sp. 316 scaffold_5, whole genome shotgun sequence.